rnacentral:rRNA from 1 species
GUUGAAAGUUUUGAAGAUUUUUUGAAUUUAAUCAACAAAUUGACAAUUAAAUAAAUAACAAUUCAAUAUAAAUAUUGAAGUUUAGUUCAGUAAACCUCUGGCCCAAACUAUUUCUAGUCCAGACCAAAGCAAAAGUUCUUGUAAUAACAAAAAACACUGUGUGUAAGGUUUUUUCGCCGCGCAAUUAAGCGCUGGCAAAAAGAAUACUGUAAUGAUCCUUCCGCAGGUUCACCUACGGAAAUCGAAUUCCGGCUGCCACA